rnacentral:lncRNA from 10 species
CCCUGACAAGGCAAGCUGUCCUUCGCCGGCCCUCCCUCCCUUCCUCAAGCUACCACAAUAUUUAUUUUAACUCAAUCUGACCAAUCCUUUGUGUUUAAUUUUUAAAACAGCCUACCAUCCUAUAACAAAAUUCAAUAUUCAGUGGGCUUUCUUUAAAAAAUAAUAAAUAAACCCCCCACUGAUAUCCACUUGGCCUAAAAGGAAAAGUUGGGUUUCUGCUUUCCCUGAGAGCAGCACUCCCUUAUCCCUGGAACGCCGCGCCCUGCGUGGUUCCCCGCCCUCCCCACGCGCGGGGGCGCCCUGACAGUCCCCUGCUGCUCCUCUGCUGGGCGCCACAACUUUCCCCAACCCGUGCCAACUUCCAGGGCACAGCCUCUGCGGAGAGUAGCAGGGUACAGUGAAUAACCCAGACACUAAAAAGCAAGGCAGCGGGGGUCCUACCAGCGCGGCUUUUGAUGACGUCGGUGAAUCCGUCCUCAGCGGCAUUUUCUGGGGUCUCCUGCAGACCCCUCAGCUGUGCCAUAACCAAACGCCACGUGCCUCAGCUUCCUCACGCCCCAAACUUUGGAAGGCAGGUCACAUGGAAUCUACACAUGGAAGGACAUAGGCAUUGCAUGCAGGUAUCCGGAAUCAUUGAUAUUGGUCUUAAAAUUUGGAAGUUUCCACUUUUGCUAAGACUGCCAUUUAUAAUGAGCCCUACGGAGAGGCCAUGUGGCAAGAAGCUGAGGCUGCCAGAGGGAACCUGAGGCCUGCCAGCAACCACAUACAUGAGUUUGGAAGUUAAUUCUUCAGCUUCCUUUGAGUCUUGAGGUAGCUACAGCCUGGCCAGAACUUGACUAAACUUCAUAAGGGACACUGAGCCAGAAACACCUAACUAAGCAAAUUCUGGUUUUAUGACCUUCAGAAAUUGUGUGAAAUAAUAAAUAUUUGUUGUUUUCAUUAUUCACCAUAGCAAAGUCAUGGAAUCAACCUAGGUGCCCAUCAACAGUGGAUUGGAUAAAAAAGGUGCACAUAUAACGCAUGGAAUACUAUGCAACCAUAAAAAAGAAUGAAACCACAUCCUUUGCAGCAACAUAGUUACAGCUAUAGAGCAUAAUCCUAAGCAAAUUAACACAGGAACAGAAAAGCAAAUAUUGCCUGUUCUCACUUAUAAGUGGGAGCUAAACAUUGGGUAUACAUGGACAUAAAGAUGGAAACAAUAGAUGAUGAGGACUCCGAAAUGGGGAAAGAACUGGAGUAACGGUUGAAAACCUACCUGUUGGGUACUAUGUUCACUAUUUGGGUAACAGAUUCAGUAGAAGCCCAAACCCUAGCAUUAUGCAAUGCACCCAUGUAACAAACCUGCACAUGUACCCACUGAAUCUAAAAUAAACUGUAUUUGUUGUUGUAAGAUGCUAAAGUUUGGGAUAAGUUGUUCUGCAACAAUAGGAGUGUGUGUGUGUGUGUGUGUGUGUGUGUGUGUGUGUGUAGAGAGAGAGAGAGAGAUACAGAAAGACAGAAGAAAAGAAUAUUUUUGGCAAGUAAAACUUGCAUAUUAAUGAAAAGAAAGGAUAUUUUUGAUAAAGUAAAUUCUAAAAUACAAUAUAUAAACUAAUACAUAUAUCUGUUUGGAUUUAAUAGAUCAGAGACCAUUGUAAAAACAGUGUGCCUAUUGCAUAAAUAUCCCUAAUAAAAAACUCACAAUUCUGUAAUAAAAUUAUUAUAUAUUUUAAUUUUGAAAGAUGUUUCAAGGCUGAACUAUCCAGAUGAAAGAGGUGAAAUCCACAUAAUUAUGCUUGAAAGCAUAUGGUUUUAAUUUUUAUAUUUUUGUAAUUAAGUGAAGAAAUUAAGGGGCAUUGAAGAUUUCACCUCUAAGCAGCUCACAGUUUUCCUAAGCUUGGACUAGGUGACAACUCUCUCAAUCUCACUCAAAACAUAUUUUAGUAUAAAUUAAGGUUAAUCUGUGAAUAGAUGUCAAUAACAUUUUCCUAUUAAAUAAAUACAAAUACCUUGACUUUAAGAUACAAAAAAACUACUUGUCAUUUAGUAUUUUGUAUUUUUAACUUGCCAGAUUUAUGUCAUAAUAUAAAUGCCAGAAUUUUGUCUAGGUGAAAUAAGAAUCAUCUGAAACACAUUCAUUAUUAUUUCAUCAGAAUAAGCUUGAAUUAUGUUUUUGUAUAUUUCAGUAAAAUUAUGAUGAGAAAACAAACUAUAAAGGCCAAAAUAUUUCUAUUGCUUACUCAUUAAAAUGUUUUUAAAGAUUCAACAU